CAAAAAUUCCAAGGUGACAACAAGUCUUCCCUCUUCAUUUUCCUUCUCUUAUGACAGCCAACUUCAAGUAAGUGCAUUCCACCUUUGUAAAUAUUUAGUUUUCAUGUUUAUCCUUUCCCUUAGAUCUCUUCUUUGAGCUUAUUCUCACACAAGAGACUGUGUGAAGUAAGUUUGGGGGAGAGUCUACAAUCUCACAUUGUGUUUUGUUUUGUCUACUUGUCAUUAAGUCUCAUGCAUUGCAUUGUGAAUAAUUAUUUGCAUAGAAAAUCCAUAAAAAUUAAAAAAUUUCGAAAAUCACAAAAAUAA
rnacentral:lncRNA from 1 species